AAAAGGAAAACCCCAGAUCUUGAUUUGGCAUUACAUUGAAUAAUCAGAUUCAAAGACAAAUUUUUAAGUUGGAUUUAAAAUGUAUAUAUCCCAGGUGAAAGUCUCUGUUGAGAACGAUCAGUACCAUUUGAGGUCAUGGGUCACUCCGAGUGUUGUUCUCAAUCCGAGUUCUAGAGCUCUCUGUUUAUAGCCAAAAUUGCAAAGAGAAGCGAGGCAAAUGAGGCGCAGUCUUGAGGUUUGGAAGAUGGGCACGGUAAAUUACCUGGAGGCACUGAAGCUGCAAGAGAAGCUGGCAACUGAUAGAAAAGCUCUAAAAAUUACUGAUACCCUAUUAUCUCUACAGCAUCCACCGACGUAUACAGUUGGCAAAAGGGAAACAGUUCAUAAUCUACUCAUUCCUGAUUCUGAGCUCAAGUCCAUGGGGGCGGAACUUCACUAUACGCAAAGAGGAGGUGACAUUACAUUUCAUGGUCCUCAGCAAGCAAUCUUAUAUCCCAUUGUUUCGUUGAGAGAUAUUGGUUUAGGGGCUAGAAUGUAUGUUGAGAAGCUUGAGCUAACCAUGAUUGAAUUGGCAUCUAUGUAUGGUGUGAAAGCACAGGCUGGACAAAAAUGCGAAACUGGUGUUUGGGUUGAGGACAGAAAGAUUGGCGCGAUUGGAGUUAGAAUUUCAUCUGGGAUCACAUCUCAUGGAUUAGCAUUCAACAUGGACCCUGAUUUAAACUACUUUAAGCAUAUUGUGCCUUGUGGGAUUGUCAAUAAAGGUGUUACGUCUUUGAAGAAUGAGACAGAUGUAGAGCUUCCCGCUGAAGAUGUGAUACAGGAGCAGUUGAUCGCUUGUUUUGUAAGAAUAUUUGGGUACAACGACGUUGUCUUAAAAGAUAAGUCUGUGUUAUAAUUUGAUUAAGCACUAAUGUUAACAUAGGCUGAUACAUUAUCUGACUAAUUUUUUUUGUAUAAGUAGACAUUCAUUCAUUUGAUCAGAUUAGCAUU
rnacentral:misc_RNA from 1 species